rnacentral:rRNA from 1 species
GAGUUUGAUCCUGGCUCAGAAUCAACGCUGGCGGCGCGCUUAACACAUGCAAGUCGCACGAGAAAGCAGGAGCAAUCUUGUGAGUAAAGUGGCGUACGGGUGAGUAACACGUGGAUCAUCUACCUCUUGGUGGGGAAUAACCCUGGGAAACCGGGGCUAAUACCGCAUAAGCCUGCGAAGGGAAAGCAGCAAUGCGCCGAGAGAGGAGUCCGCGGCCGAUUAGCUAGUUGGCGGGGUAACGGCCCACCAAGGCGAAGAUCGGUAGCCGGCCUGAGAGGGCACACGGCCACACUGGCACUGAAACACGGGCCAGACUCCUACGGGAGGCAGCAGUGGGGAAUCUUGCACAAUGGAGGAAACUCUGAUGCAGCGACGCCGCGUGAGCGAUGAAGCCCCUCGGGGUGUAAAGCUCUUUCGACGGGAAAGAUAAUGACGGUACCCGAAGAAGAAGCUGCGGCUAACUACGUGCCAGCAGCCGCGGUAAUACGUAGGCAGCAAGCGUUGUUCGGAAUUACUGGGCGUAAAGAGUGUGUAGGCGGUGUUCUAAGUCUGUUGUGAAAUCUCCCGGCUUAACUGGGAGGGUGCGGCGGAGACUGGAAUGCUAGAGUGUGGGAGAGGUAAGCGGAAUUCCUGGUGUAGCGGUGAAAUGCGUAGAUAUCAGGAGGAACACCUGUGGUGUAGACAGCUUACUGGACCACGACUGACGCUGAGACACGAAAGCGUGGGUAGCAAACAGGAUUAGAUACCCUGGUAGUCCACGCCCUAAACGAUGCAUACUUGGUGUGAGCCAUUCAUUUGGUUCGUGCCGGAGCUAACGCGUUAAGUAUGCCGCCUGGGGAGUACGGUCGCAAGGCUGAAACUCAAAGGAAUUGACGGGGGCCCGCACAAGCGGUGGAGCAUGUGGUUCAAUUCGACGCAACGCGAAGAACCUUACCUGGGCUCGAACGGCUUAAGAUCAUCCUUGGAAACAGGGACUUCUCGCAAGAGACUUGAGUCGAGGUGCUGCAUGGCUGUCG